rnacentral:rRNA from 1 species
ACUACGGGAGGCAGCAGGGAGGAAUAUGGGGCAAUGGGCGGAAGCCAGAACCAGCCAAGUAGCGGGCGGGAUGAAGGCCCUACGGGUAGUAAACCGCUUUUGCACGGGGAUAACACCCUCCACUUGUGGAGGUCUGCAGGUACCGUGCGAAUAAGGGCAGGCUAAUUCCGUGCCAGCAGCCGCGGUAAUACGGAAGGCCCGAGCGUUAUCCGGAUUUAUUGGGCUUAAAGGGAGCGUAGGCGGGCGUUCAAGUCAGCUGUAAAAUCGCGCGGCUCAACCGCGCCCCGCAGUUGAAACUGGAAGCCUUGAGUUCACCACAGGCAGGCGGAAUUCGUGGUGUAGCGGUGAAAUGCAUAGAUAUCACGAGGAACCCCGAUUGCGAAGGCAGCCUGCCGGGGUGCGACUGACGCUGAGGCUCGAAAGUGCGGGUAUCAAACAGGAUUAGAUACCCGAGUAGUC